CGUCCUUGCUGCGUCACUGUGGGGAUGGGCGACAAGGAACCUUCUGUCUCUUGGCCGAUGUCCGCUCCGCCCCGGGGCCGCCUCAGGCUCGGUGCUGGCCGGCCCCGUUUCAGGGCUCUGCUCUGCUGUUGUUUGAGUUGCUGCUUUUGCCAUUCCGCUAGCAUUGUGGUGCCCAGCCCCUCCAACCCGCGCCGGGUUGCUCGCCGCCGCCGCCGCUGCUGUGGGGGGGCGAGGGGCCAGCACCGCUUCUCUUCCGUUUCCGCCCUGGUCUCUGCCUUGAUCUCCGCCCCUGAGUUCCUCCUCCUGACUUAGCCUUGUUUCAUCACCAACUCCGCCUGCCUCCUCAGGUGUCUCCCCGCCUCCCGAGGGACCCGACAGGGCCACUUCCGAGUUUGCCUCACUCCACGGGACCGCGAAGCUGUUAACAUCUGCUGCUUUUUUCUCCGCAGUCAUGAUUUGCAGGCUCUCUUUGAGAGAAUAUGAAAGAGAAGCUGUACGGAAGCCUGGAGAUACCUAUCUAAAUCAAGCCCUUUAAAUUGCCUCCGUCUGAAAAACGAGGUGAAAAGGUUAUAUGCUGCUUGCCUGUCCAUUAUUCACGUCAGCGCUGUUGCAGACCCUCUAGGCUUCGGCAGCACGUAUCGGCUGAGCCCGCCGUUGCAGUCACUUAGGGCGCGGCACCAGGUAGUGGAGCUUAAUCGCCGUCCGUCUAGCUGCGGGACCCGACCCCAACGCAACGUCUCACAGAUCCAGGCGGGGGGGUCCCGUCCGUUCGGGCGCCAGAUGUUGGUGAGAGUGUCGCGGGAGACAAGCCUCAUGCUGUCAUGAUCAACAAGUCUCAGUUUAUUGGAGUCGAUUACAGUUUCUUUGUACAAGCACUAAUUAGUUCAUACAUAUUGCAAAAGCGAAGCUCAGGAUUGGUUACCUUUCUAUUAACACAUAUAUCUCUUUGCGAUAAGCCUUGCAGUUACUGUUUCUUUAUACUUGAUUAUCUUUCUGCAUACUAAGCAA